rnacentral:rRNA from 1 species
GGGAAUCUGCCCUUGGGUUCGGGAUAACCGUUGGAAACGACGGCUAAUACCGGAUGAUGACGAAAGUCCAAAGAUUUAUCGCCCAGGGAUGAGCCCGCGUCCGAUUAGGUAGUUGGUGGGGUAAAGGCCUACCAAGCCGACGAUCGGUAGCUGGUCUGAGAGGAUGAUCAGCCACACUGGGACUGAGACACGGCCCUGACUCCUACGGGAGGCAGCAGUGGGGAAUAUUGGACAAUGGGCGAAAGCCUGAUCCAGCAAUGCCGCGUGAGUGAUGAAGGCCUUAGGGUUGUAAAGCUCUUUUACCCGGGAUGAUAAUGACAGUACCGGGAGAAUAAGCCCCGGCUAACUCCGUGCCAGCAGCCGCGGUAAUACGGAGGGGGCUAGCGUUGUUCGGAAUUACUGGGCGUAAAGCGCACGUAGGCGGCUUUGUAAGUAAGAGGUGAAAGCCUGGUGCUCAACACCAGAACUGCCUUUUAGACUGCAUCGCUUGAAUCCAGGAGAGGUGAGUGGAAUUCCGAGU